UACGUAGGGGGCAAGCGUUAUCCGGAUUUACUGGGUGUAAAGGGAGCGUAGGCGGACUUUUGAGUGAGAUGUGAAAUACCCGGGCUCAACUUGGGUGCUGCAUUUCAAACUGGAAGUCUAGAGUGCAGGAGAGGAGAAUGGAAUUCCUAGUGUAGCGGUGAAAUGCGUAGAGAUUAGGAAGAACACCAGUGGCGAAGGCGAUUCUCUGGACUGUAACUGACGCUGAGGCUCGAAAGCGUGGGGAGCAAACAGGAUUAGAUACCCU
rnacentral:rRNA from 1 species